CGGUUGAUAUCGCCCGCAGGAAAACAACACAACAAACCAACAGACCAAACAACCAAGAACUCGGUGAACAUCGAGGGGGAAUUCUUUCUAAAAUCUGCUCCAUAAAGCCAUCUUUUCAUUAAAAGUGUUGCUCUGAUGUUUGUGCUACGUACUGGAGCCGAAUUACGAAAAAUAAACCACAGCGGUGAGUGAAACGUACAAAUAGUAUGGAAGGUGAACGUUUCUCUGUGAGCUAUUUUGCAGCUGCGAGUUAAUUCCUACAACACGUGGCGUCCUGUCAAUCUGUCACGCGGUGGUGGCUGGUGGACGAGGCGAGUGGACGGCCGCAGGUUUUGCUGUGUGGAGAUGAAAACUAUUGGACAGCUGAGCUGCUGAAUGGCAGAGUUGUGGCAGCAGCCAGCCAGUAAGGAGGUGACUGCUGGCUCAGCUCUUCAAUGUCGGUAAGUACCUUGCAUGCCUCGUCGAGGGACAGCUCCGUGGGACCUCAGCAGCGACACCUCCACAUGGUGCCAAGGUAAAGAAAGAGGACAUUGUUUGUUUGUUUAGGAGGUAGGCACUGCUAGGAUCCUAACCUUUGGCUUGCCUUUCAGGUGCACUAAUGUUUCCAGCAUUGAUUUUUUACUUCAACAGAUGUUUCAUGCAUCAGAAAUUCCAUGUUAUGUCCAUGACAGCAGCAGGAGCUUCUGUAAGGAAACUCACCUUAAAGUAGCUUAUAAGAUGUUUGGUGGGAUGAUUGUUCCAAGGCAGCAGCCUCUUCACAAGAAAACAAGACUGCUUCAAUGCAGUUGGAAAGUGUGAUUUUUGGGUAAGUGCCCAGUAUGUAAAGUUUUGGGAAAGAACUGUAGCUACUCUAUAUUAUGGAUUUUCUGCACUUAGCUUAUGAAAAGUUGAUAAAAAACAUAAUUAAUAGAAUAUCAAGAAUCAAACAAAUGCUACAUUGUCUUACCAGUCAUAAUGUUUUAUGUUGUUGUCUCAUGUUUAUGAAAAUAUAAAUUUUAUCAGAGAUAUCCAUGAUGAGUUGCUGUGUAUUAUAUCAGUUCCUAUGAGACUGUUAGUUAUACUGGAAAAGUUUUCAGACAAAUCCUGCCAUACCAAGUGAUCCUGGUAUUCAAAGUGUAUGGGGAAAAGAACAAAGCUGUGCACUGCAUCUUGAAAGAGGAAAUGAAAAGUUUGUAACUUUUGUGUCUAGCCUGGAAUGCUAAGAACUGAACAACAUGAAUGACUGAGUAGCCUGCUGUCCUGUUCUCCAUCUUGGAAUGUUAAUAAUUCAAGUGAACAAAGAACAGAGUACUCUUUAAGUCCUGCCCUCCUUCAUCUUGGAAUGCUAACAUAGAUCUGCACAACAAUGAAGAGAACUCUCUGGAUUGAUGGUAGGUAUUUCUGGUAUCUAAUACAGGUACAUAAAACUUUAUUUGCCUUUCAGAAUCCCUUGCAUACUUAACUUCAAUGUGAUAGUAUGCCAUAAGUAAUGGAUAGUUCAUUGGUAGAGGUCUUGCCUCCGUUUUUACUUUUCUUUUCAGCAUUAUGAUCACAAGUUAGUUGGGGUCAUGUGUGUGAGCUUCAUCUGCUGUGAUCUGUUUUGCACUCAUAUUUUUCCUUGAAUCUUUCUUCCAUUUUUAUUUAUUUAUUUAUUAUUAUUAUUUUUUUUUAGCUUCUGCUUAUAUCACUGGUAACCUGUCUUGAGGGGGCCCAUUAGUGGUGCAGCCAAAUUUUAUUUCUAGUAGCUGUCAUGAUGUAUGACUUGCUUGGCCCAUGCUGCCCCCUGGUGCUCCACUUGAACGAAGUUGUUUAAGUUAGGGUUGAUUGAAGAUCUGGGCAGCAUGUGCGUAAUCUUUCGCCACUCAGUGAUGGCUUGAAAAAUCAGUGUCUUUUGGUGGGACUUAAACCUAGGUCCACGGGCUCACCAUGCUUGCAUGCUGUCCACGCGGCCACCGCCUCCCUACCCCCCACCGCAUAAAUGGACCUCAUGUGGCCCAUCUAACAUCAAAUCAUAAAACUGAAAAUAACAACUCCUCCAUAACUAAAUUUAAAGAUAAUCUAAAGGUCCUUAGGUUUAAUACUCAUAGCUUAAGUAAUAAGAUUGAAAACUUGGUGUCUUGCUUCAACAGAAAAUUUUGAUAGAAUUGCUAUAACAGAAAUAUUCAUUGACACCUCAAAUACUUAUAUAAUUCCAGAAAACAAUGUACUGUAGAUGAUGACAGUCUCUUCAACAAAGAUUGCAUCAACCAUAGAGGUGGAGGUGUUGCCCUUUAUGCCAACAGCUACUUGCAUCCCACUGAUAGAUCACCAAGAGACACUAAUGCUGAACAUUUGCGCGUGCGAGUAAAUAGUGUAAAAAAUUAACUUAUCUCACUUACAGGGCUCCUUGUCAAUCACUCUGUGAUAUUGAAAUGUUUGGCGUUUUAUGAGUCAGGUCAUGACAGCGACUCACUGAUAUUAGGAGACUUUAAUCUCCCUCAUAUUCCACUGGGAGUCACUGUCAGGCACUGAAGGUGAGUCACAUCGAAUGCUUGAAUUUUGAGAGGAUAAUUACCCAAGUCAACUGGUCACUGAACCAACUCGACUAAAUAACAUGUUGUCCUCCAUGUUUGAGAGCAAACAGAGUAACGCUGAGGUUACAUUACCCAAAAAUGACUUCAUUUGCUUUCCGAUCAUCUGAGGUUGAAAAGCUUCUAAAUAAUUCAGAUACAUAUGGAGGUACUGAUCCUCUUGGCUUUUUCCCACUAUUUUUCAAAACAAUUAGUAAUCUCCUAGCUACCAAACUGUCCGUCAUUUUCAGAAUUCUAAUUUGGCAAGGUCGCUUUCCUAUCUGUUGGUGUAUUGCUAAUGUUACUCCUAUCAUGAAGAAAUCUGCUUCAGUUUUACCAGAAGAAUACAGACCCAUCUCUAUUACUCCUAUUCUGUCAAAAGUAUUUGAGCGUUUGUUGGGGAAAUGACUCCCUAAAUAUUUCAUUAACUUUAAUCUUCUACCACCUAACCAGUUUGGUUUUAUGAUGGCUUAGGAACUUGUGAUGCUCUUUUGGUGUUGAUACAUGACCUUCAAUCUUCUCUCGAUUGUGGACAUGAGUCUCGGCUUAUUUCUUUGGAUUUUAGUUUAGCCUUUGAUAUGGUGAAUCACAAGGCAUUGUUGUUUAAACUGGAAAAUUCUGGUGUAGGAGGGCAUGUCCUAGAUGUGAUCUCUGAGUUUUUAACAUUAAGGACAUUGAUAUAGGACUUAACCCUUUCCUUGCGCGCGGUGCGGAUGCGACUGUCCCCUCAGGCGCAGUCGGGCAGCCCAAUGGGGAGUCUAUUUUAACCUCUGUAUCUCAAAAACUAUUCAUCACAGCUAAACACCAAAAACACCACUGGAAAGAGGAGGUCCAGAUCUAUAGGGGUCGGUUAUGUAUGCCUCUCUUGCGAAUGUACAUGCACGUUCAGGGAGUGUUGAAUGUUAACACUUACGUCGGUGCGUGUGGGAUGAUCAGCCAUAUUGAGGUAACUGCGGACAUCUCUCCUUCAGACUCUGGCAAGGGAGUAUUGCCAACUGCAAUAUUUGCAACUAUUUGGUCAAAGAAUCAGUCAGGUGAUAGGUGAAGCUAUGCAAAAAUGCCGCUAUAUUGGGCAAAAACAUCCACCAGUUACUCGUCCAUAGAUUUGCCGCGCUGGGCUGAUAUGAUUUUCCACCAAAUUUAGUGAAGAACCCACUCAAUUGGCAAUCCUGUGUUGUGAGAAUUAGUGUUGGAACUCACUCAAACGCGGGAGAUUUGAGUGCGGGUGGAGCUCGCAGCGAGCGUUUAGCGCCACGAGCAAAUACGCUUAAUGCUCGCUGCGAGCGUUUAGCAGUGAAAGGGUUUAUAGUCUCGUUAGUAAAUUUGCUGAUGCCACAAAGAUAGGUAAUUCGGUCCUCUUUGACGAAGACAGACAAAGGCUACAAGAAGAUUUGUAUAGAAUUUCAGAUUGGUCUGAUUAAUGGAAUAUAUAUGAUAUAAACAGUGCCAUCUUCAAAUUGGCAAAAAAAUAAGAGGUUUGAUUAUGAAAUGUAUGCACUAAACUCAAAAGCGUUCAGUAUGUCAAGGACAUUGGUGUCAAAUUCAGGUCAACCCUCAAAUUCUCACAGCAAAGCAUUGAUACAAUUAAGAAAGUGAACAGAAUGCUGGGCUUCAUUAACCCGUUGAGCCCCACCAAUAAUACAUAAUGAUCCACCAAUUUUUUUUAUAUAUUUUUUCUAGGAAAUCCAAUGGAAUCAUGAAGUUAUAACAACAAAAGCACAUAAAAUCACUCACCAUAGCCACAGAACACGCAGAACAUAUCUACUGAGGGGGGGUACAUCUUGCGUUGUUUUUUGUGUAGCGUUGAAAAUGAGAGA